CAAUCACGUUGUAUUCUUGGUUGU
rnacentral:siRNA from 1 species